GACGAACGCUGGCGGCGUGCCUAAUACAUGCAAGUAGAACGCUGAAGAGAGGAGCUUGCUCUUCUUGGAUGAGUUGCGAACGGGUGAGUAACGCGUAGGUAACCUGCCUUGUAGCGGGGGAUAACUAUUGGAAACGAUAGCUAAUACCGCAUAACAAUGGAUGACACAUGUCAUUUAUUUGAAAGGGGCAAUUGUUCCACUACAAGAUGGACCUGCGUUGUAUUAGCUAGUAGGUGAGGUAAUGGCUCACCUAGGCGACGAUACAUAGCCGACCUGAGAGGGUGAUCGGCCACACUGGGACUGAGACACGGCCCAGACUCCUACGGGAGGCAGCAGUAGGGAAUCUUCGGCAAUGGGGGCAACCCUGACCGAGCAACGCCGCGUGAGUGAAGAAGGUUUUCGGAUCGUAAAGCUCUGUUGUAAGUCAAGAACGGGUGUGAGAGUGGAAAGUUCACACUGUGACGGUAGCUUACCAGAAAGGGACGGCUAACUGCGUG
rnacentral:rRNA from 1 species